GGGACGUCAGGUCAGGCGGG
rnacentral:rRNA from 1 species